GUUUCCGUGGUGUAGUGGUUAUCACGUUUGCCUCACAUGCUAAAGGUCCCAGGUUCGAAUCCGGACAGAAACA